UCUGAACAGCUGUUUUGUAUAACUUCGAGUGACUUUUUUCUAUUAUCACAUUUUGUAUUUAAAUCAUUAGCACCUGGACAAACACCAGUUGAAAAAGUAAUUAGUGCUGGAGGUAUUGAAUCAAGUAUGUUUAUGCAAGAAAGACUUCGUAAAUUGGACCUCAUCCGAAUUAAAAAAAUGAAUCACAAAUCAAGUGCUAAAGGUAAAUUAAGGAGACAAGCUUAAAAAAACAGCUUAGAGCCAUCAAAAAAGGUUACAUAGAUAUUGAAAAAGAACUGGAAAAGGACCCACAAUAUAAUAGUGGAGGUUUUUAAUUGAGCUUGUACUUCUUUUCCUAAUAUAACGAACUUUUAUUU